rnacentral:rRNA from 1 species
UACGUAGGGGGCUAGCGUUAUCCGGAAUUAUUGGGCGUAAAGGGUGCGUAGGCGGUCCUACAAGUCAGAGGUGAAAGGCUACGGCUCAACCGUAGUAAGCCUUGAAACUGUAGGACUUGAGUGCAGGAGAGGAGAGUGGAAUUCCCAGUGUAGCGGUGAAAUGCGUAGAUAUUGGGAGGAACACCAGUUGCGAAGGCGACUACCUGGCCUGUUCUGACGCUGAGGCGCGAAAGCUAGGGAGCAACAGG